AGGUCUUGCCUGCCCAGUGACAAGUUAAACGGCCGCGGUAUUUUGACCGUGCGAAGGUAGCGCAAUCACUUGUCUUUUAAAUGAAGACCUGUAUGAAUGGCGGAACGAGGGCUUAACUGUCUCCCCUUUCAAGUCAAUGAAAUUGAUCUGUCCGUGCAGAAGCGGACAUACCCCUACAAGACGAGAAGACCCUUUGGAGCUUAAGAUGCAAGAUCAACUAUGUCAAGAACCCCAAAACCAAGUCAAACUAAAUAGCACCUGAUCCCUAUCUUCGGUUGGGGCGACCACGGGAGAAAAUAAAGCUCCCACGCGGACCGGGGCCUACCCCAAAACUAAGAAAGACACUUCUAAGUCGCAGAACAUCUGACCACAAAGAUCCGGCUAUUUGCCGAUCAACGGACCAAGUUACCCUAGGGAUAACAGCGCAAUCCCCUUUCAGAGUCCAUAUCGACAAGGGGGUUUACGACCUCGAUGUUGGAUCAGGACAUCCUAAUGGUGCAGCCGCUAUUAAGGGUUCGUUUGUUCAACGAUUAAAGUCCUACGUGAUCU
rnacentral:rRNA from 1 species